rnacentral:rRNA from 1 species
GAUCCUGGCUCAGGACGAACGCUGGCGGCGUGCCUAACACAUGCAAGUCGAGCGGAGACAGUGAGUAGCUUGCUAUGAGCUGUUUUAGCGGCGGACGGGUGAGUAACGCGUGAGCAACCUUUCCCAGACAGGGGAAUAACACACCGAAAGGUGUACUAAUACCGCAUAAGACCACGGGAUCACAUGGUUCUGAGGUAAAAGAAUUAUCGGUUUGGGGUGGGCUCGCGUCCGAUUAGGUAGUUGGUGAGGUAACCGG